rnacentral:rRNA from 1 species
GACGAACGCUGGCGGCGUGCUUAACACAUGCAAGUCGAACGGAAAGGCCCUGCUUUUGUGGGGUGCUCGAGUGGCGAACGGGUGAGUAACACGUGAGUAACCUGCCCUUGACUUUGGGAUAACUUCAGGAAACUGGGGCUAAUCCCGGAUAGCAGCUCCUGCUGCAUGGUGGGGGUUGGAAAGUUUCGGCGGUUGGGGAUGGACUCGCGGCUUAUCAGCUUGUUGGUGGGGUAGUGGCUUACCAAGGCUUUGACGGGUAGCCGGCCUGAGAGGGUGACCGGCCACAUGGGGACUGAGAGACGGACCAGAGUCGUACGGGAGGCAGCGGUGGGAAAUAUUGCACAAUGGGCGGAAGCCUGAUGCAGCAGCGCCGCGUGCGGGAUGACGGCCUUCGGGGUGUAAACAGCUUUCGCCUGUGACGAAGCGUGAGUGACGGUAAUGGGUAAAGAAGCACCGGCUAACUACGUG